GACAUCGAGAUCGCGGUUUCCAGAGAUGGAUUCCUUCAGUUCGGCUGGAUCUUAGACAGGUGUUGCAUGGCUGUCGUCAGCUCGUGUCGUGAGAUGUUGGGUUAAGUCCCGCAACGAGCGCAACCCUCGCCUUUAGUUGCCAUCAUUAAGUUGGGCACUCUAGAGGGACUGCCGGUGAUAAGCCGGAGGAAGGUGGGGAUGACGUCAAGUCCUCAUGGCCCUUAUGGGUUGGGCUACACACGUGCUACAAUGGCGGCGACAAUGGGCAGCGAAGGGCGACCCGGUGCAAAUCCCAAAAGCCGUCUCAGUUCGGAUUGCACUCUGCAACUCGAGUGCAUGAAGGUGGAAUCGCUAGUAAUCGCGUAACAGCAUGACGCGGUGAAUACGUUCCCGGGCCUU
rnacentral:rRNA from 1 species